rnacentral:rRNA from 1 species
AAACCGUUCGGGGGUAAACGGACAGAGCCCGUGAAUCCGGGCGACGGAAUUCAGAAUCGAUGACGUUCGCGCGUCGUCGGUUCGAUCUUUCCGUCGCCAACCAUUACUAUACGGACGUCGCGACCCGUUCGGUGUCGGUCUGCAGGAGACGUGCGAAAGUUCGUGUGCGUCUGGCGGGGUUUCGGCCUCGCCGGGCGUUUUCGCGAGUGCGCGUUUUUUUUCUGGCCGACUCGCCGGACGGUAUGCGAAGCGGUGAUCGCGGCGGCCUCUCGUUAGCGCCGUCGCGUUACCGGUCUGCGACGAAUCUUCGGGCCUCUUUCCGA